GCUCACUUUGUCAGAGCCUAUACCAAAAUUGGAACAAUACAAAGAAGAUUAGCAUGACUUCUCAGCCAGGAUGACAUGCAAAUUCGUGAAGCUUUGCAUAUUAUA